UAACUGAGUCAAAAGAUGAAUGUUUGAAAAGUCUUCCUUUUUGUAGCCAGCCAGAGCCAGGAACGAAAUAUGAGAGCACAAAAUGGCAGCCAGGACUUCAUUCCUAUUGACAAGAAUCUAACGAUAAAUGACUCGAAAAACACUCUUUCCAAUCAUAUGGAAUUUACAUUAUUUCGAUAAUCUGAUUAGGAAUUCGAAUUUUAGGUAGAUAGUGGAUUUACCCGAUUGAUUCUUAUUUCUUAAUUCCAGAGAUUGGAAAAAAUCGAUAUGUUUAUUAAUAAAUUUAUGUUCAGAUAAUUCA